rnacentral:tRNA from 19 species
CGAGGUGUAGCGCAGUUUGGUAGCGCACAUGGUUUGGGACCAUGGGGCCGGAGGUUCGAAUCCUCUCACCUCGACCA